rnacentral:lncRNA from 1 species
UGGCUCUGCCAUUUCCUAGCAACAUGACUUUGUGCCUCAACUUCCCCAUCUGAGAAGAAUCAUCGUGAUGAUUCAAAUUGAAGUGCUCAGUCACAAUGAUCCAUUGUGAUUAUGUGCUGGGAGGAGGGGGCUGCCCAUGCCCUACCUCCCUCGCCACCUUCCCUCCCACUGAAAGAGGGGACCGAUGAGACACCCAUUCCCUACCUCCCUCGCCCCCUUCCCUCCCACUGAAAGAGGGGACCAAUGAGACACCCAUUCCCUACCUCCCUCGCCCCCUUCCCUCCCACUGAAAGAGGGGACGCAUGAGAUGCCCAUGCUGGCUGAGGCUGCCGUCAUGCACUCCGUUCAGCACCCACGGCCCCAGGGAGCAUGCUCCCUUCUCAUGAAGAGCACGGUGGUGGCUCAUUUUCCCCUGGCUAUCACAAGCCAGGACCCCAGGGAGCCCAGGCGUCCCCAGGCGCAGAGCAGCAUUUAGAGGCGCCAGCUGCCUCUCAGGGGGCACCUCCGCGGUGCAGUGGUUGGGGGUGGUGCAUGAGGACAGGGACUAUGGUCCAAAGGGACCUCAGGCAGGUGCAGGGCCUGUGGAAUCCCAGUGACCUUCUCCACGGUGAGGGUGGAGUUGUGGGUCUCGACUUGAUGGCAGAGUCAUGGGUGCGGGGAACAGGUGGCCACUCUCAGUCUCCACCCCUGCCCUCUUAACAGCCCGUUGAACAAAGACUGUUGAGCUCUUGGCACAUGCCCAGCGCUGUGCCCAAGCACAUUACACGUUGUUCCAGGGUCUUCCCAGCGCUGCAGGUGGAUCAUGCUGCUGUCCCAUCUGACAGAGGAGGAGAUGGAGGCUCAAGCAGACUAGGGCCCCCAGCAAGGACGCAGCCUCCUUCCUCUGCAUCUCUGCAUAGAGCUCGGGACAAGGCUGAGUACACACCAAGUGCACAGGGGCAGAGGCAGGGGCAGAGUGGAGCAGGCCCUGAGAUAGUUCUAGAAAAUGGGCCCCUCGGUUACCUUUGGAGGAAGGGAAGAACCCGGCCAGGACCCUUCUGUGUCUCAACACACGUGCCAGCAGGUGGCACACGCCUGUAGUCCCAGGUACGCUGGAGGCUGU